rnacentral:misc_RNA from 1 species
AACUUUCAGCAACGGAUCACUUGGCUCUGGCAUCGAUGAAGAACGCAGCGAAACGCGAUAGGUAGUGUGAAUUGCAGAAUUUAGUGAAUCAUCGAAUCUUUGAACGCAUAUUGCGCCGGGCGGUAAUCCGCCCGGCAUGACCGUCCGAGCGUUAUUUCAACCUCUUUAGGGCCCUCGCGCCCGGUGUUGGGGGACUGCGUUAGCAGCGUAGCCCCUGGAAUUCAUUGGCGGUAGCGUCGCCGGCGUCUCCUACGUAGUAGCUAUACUCGUUGAGGGACCCGGGGUUGCGGUAGCCUAGGUCCCCUUGGACCGCCACCACUUAUUAAGGUUUACCUCGGAUCGGGUAGGGAUACCCGCUGAACUUAAGCAUAUCAAUAAGCGGAGGCU